GAUGAACGCUAGCUACAGGCUUAACACAUGCAAGUCGAGGGGCAGCAGGACGAUAGCUUGCUAUUGUUGCUGGCGACCGGCGCACGGGUGAGUAACGCGUAUCCAACCUUCCCCUUAGUAGAGGAUAGCCCGGCGAAAUGCGGAUUAAUGCCCUAUGUUGUAUUAUGAGGACAUCUGAGCAAUACCAAAGAUUUAUCGCUAUGGGAUGGGGAUGCGUCUGAUUAGGUAGUAGGCGGGGUAACGGCCCACCUAGCCGACGAUCAGUAGGGGUUCUGAGAGGAAGGUCCCCCACAUUGGUACUGAGACACGGACCAAACUCC
rnacentral:rRNA from 1 species